CCCUUAGAUGUUCUGGGCCGCACGCGCGCUACACUGACGAUGGCAACGAGUUUUUCCUUCGCCGAAAGGUGUGGGUAAUCUUUUGAAACAUCGUCGUGCUGGGGAUAGAUCAUUGCAAUUUUUGAUCUUGAACGAGGAAUUCCUAGUAAGCGCGAGUCAUCAGCUCGCGUUGAUUCCGUCCCUGCCCUUUGUACACACCGCCCGUCGCUACUACCGAUUGAAUGGUUUAGUGAGGACUCCUGAUUGGCGCCGCCGCCCCGGCAACGGAGCAGCGGACUGCCGAAAAGUUGUUCAAACUUGAUCAUUUAGAGGAAGUAAAAGUCGUAACA
rnacentral:rRNA from 1 species